AAUAGAUACCCAGGUAGUCCACGCCCUAAACGAUGUCUACUAGUUGUUGGUGGAGUAAAAUCCAUUAGUAACGCAGCUAACGCGUGAAGUAGACCGCCUGGGGAGUACGGUCGCAAGAUUAAAACUCAAAGGAAUUGACGGGGGGCCCGCACAAGCGGUGGAUUAUGUGGAUUAAUUCGAUGCAACGCGAAAAACCUUACCUGGCCUUGACAUGCCACUAACGAAGCAGAGAUGCAUUAGGUGCCCGAAAGGGAAAGUGGACACAGGUGCUGCAUGGCUGUCGUCAGCUCGUGUCGUGAGAUGUUGGGUUAAGUCCCGCAACGAGCGCAACCCUUGCCAAUAAUUGCCAUCAUUCAGUUGGGCACUUUAUUGGGACUGCCGGUGACAAACCGGAGGAAGGUGGGGAUGACGUCAAGUCCUCAUGGCCCUUGUGGCCAGGGCUUCACACGUAAUACAAUGGUCGGUACAGAGGGUAGCCAAGCCGCGAGGUGGAGCCAAUUCCAGAAAGCCGAUCGUAGUCCGGAUUGCAGU
rnacentral:rRNA from 1 species